GUAUUACGCAAGCAUUAAAGCAGCUCUAGCAAGUCUAUAAUGAUUUGCUUCUGCCAUGAUAUUAAUCUUCUGCACAUGAUGUUCUCUUUUACAAAUGACCAUAACUUUACAUCAUCUUUGAAUUAUUUCUGUAAAUAUUAUCUUUUUUUUUUAAUUCUGAAAAUUCGUUACAGAACCUGUUCAAUAAAAAGUGGCGAUUAUAAAUGCACCUCAAUUACAACCAGUUAUUGGUGAUAAAGGAACUUGAACAACUUGAAAAUGAAGAGCCACUUGAAAAACCAAUUCAAAUUUAAAAAUUUUCUCAUAAAACAUCUCUUGUAAACCGCUAGAAACUUAUUUCUUCUUCCUCUACUACUACUACAACUGCUACUUCGCCUCUUGGCGUUUCUAACCUUCCUCUUUCUUUCUUCUUCUUAUUGCUUCGGCGUUCUAGAGGCCCUGGAAGGUUAUUUCCCUCGUUCGCCGUCUCACUCCAUCUCUUCGUCCUCAUCUCGAGGAACGAUUUCGAACUCGAACUCCUCUUCUUAUCCUUCGCCCAGCGUUUCUAGAAGAGUUCGACGACGACGUCGUCUCAAACCGCGUCGUUUCCUUCUUCUUCUUCUCCUCUCCAUCUUACGGUAAGCCCAUUCUAUUUCGAUCUCUUUCUUGUUUCGACGAUGCGGAAAACAGGUUUUCGAACGGACUUUAGAUUGAGAGUUGGACAAGGAGGAGCAGGAGGAAGGAGGAGAGGCGCCUUCUGGCACGACCGCGCGUUUUACUGGAGCAAAAUGAGUGUUGUGAUGUGAUGGUGGAGAAAGAGAGAGAAUGGGAGCGGUCUUUCUAGAAAUCUUUCGUUUUGGAGCGAGAUUUUCGAAAUCUUUAAAAUCGAUUAAUUAUUAAUGUCAAAUUUGAAGCUAACUUCAUGUCGAGCUGUCAUUUUAAUGAUUAAACGUCAAAUUUUUAUUUGUUAAUUUGUUUUAGAUGAAAUUGAAAAUAAAUAAUGAGAAAUGAAGGGAAGGUUAUGAAAUGACUUAUUUGGGGCGAGAUUUUCGAAAUGUUUAAAAUGGAUUAAUUGUUAAUGUCAAAUUUGAAUCUAACUUCAUGUUGAACUGUCAUUUGUGUGAUGUAAACGUCAAAUUUUUGUUUGUUAAUUUAUUGUUUGUUUGUUUGUUUUAGAUGAAAUUGGUAAUAAAAAAUGAGAAAUGAAGAGGAGUGAGAUGAAAAGUCGAAUUUACAUGCGAGGCAUGCCGCGGAUGGGGUCCGCGUCUUGUAAUUACAAGACCCUUCUCGGUGGUGUGCAAUUUCGAACGUGCUCCGGGGCCCUCCAUCUCUACCUAACUAUAAUUACAAUGAAAAAAUCGAAGGAAGAUUAAACCCAAAUUGCAGUCCAAUCGGAAGAAAAAAAUUUGAGACGUGGUUCUUUGUUUGGAAUUUUUGGGUUAUGAAAUAAUAGAAAACGAUUUAAUAUGAAACCAGAGCGAAAUCGAUCAAUCAUCAUCGACUGAGGCAAAAUGCAAUUGUGCUGUUCAACGACUCACGACACAACAACGCGAUUUUAAUUGGAAAGUACACGCAACGGUACGCGGCCCCCCCGCGGGGCUCUUAUUCUUACGCCAACUAUUGCGUAUACGAAAAAGCCGUGUUAUUGCAACAAUUUACUCCUUAGAAAGUCACCUAACCUUUGACACUUUGACUUAUUCUCCACAUUUGAACGAUUUUCCGCGUUUUAAACAUUACAUCACCUUUAAAAAAGUCACAUUUUAACCGUUUUUGAGGUUAAAAAACUGAUUCUUUUUUGAUAUCCAUGUUCAUUAAUUCCUCUCCUCUUAUGGAAUGCGUUCUACAACGAGUUGAAAAGGAGAGAGGUCCAAAGAAAGAUCAAAAAGUCGAGAUUAUAAAUUGCUCCGGUUUAAUACCAGGUGGAAUGCGGACCGUGAACGCGUAUCCAAGAGCGACCACAUCAGCAAAGAAGAGAAACGGGGCCCCGACACAUACACACACGCACGCGCGGAAUCGACUCGUGUAAGAUCUUUUUAUGCGGCUACUACACCACAAGUCUGGACGCUCUCCCUGUGGCCCUUAAUAAUCUCCGGUCUAAAUGGGCGUGCAUUUGAGGUGGUCCCCCGGGAAACAACCCCGCCGCACCAGCUGGAAAUCCAAACCCAGCGGCAGGAUUACCAGCAGGAUUAUUGGCUAAAAAUCCCGGAUAUCCUUGCGGCGUACCAGCACCACUUUCUAAUAAUCCAGGGGGCGGCGCUGCGGGUCUAUGGGGCAUCAUCAAGGCGUGAGCGGCUGCAACACAAGCGACUUCUUCCCUUAAUUGUUGAGGAGGACGUUGAAGGGGUUUCGAUCGAUGGAGGUGGCUUUUGAGGUGGAUCGCGGGAUUCCCCGCUGCCGGAUCGGAUUAAAUCGGUUGUACUUAAAAGCGGAUGCAUCUCCGAUUGGUAAAUUAACGGAUGGACGUUUCUCGUUGGCACAACAGGUACGAAAGCCGAUGAUUCUCGAUGAUGGCUCAUUUUUCUUUCUUCGUAUAAAAACCUGAAACAAAAAAAAUUUAU
rnacentral:lncRNA from 1 species